AGCGAACGCUGGCGGCAUGCUUAACACAUGCAAGUCGCACGGGCGGGGGCAACUCCGUCAGUGGCGGACGGGUGAGUAACGCGUAGGAAUCUAUCCUUGAAUGGGGGACAACCGUGGGAAACUACGGCUAAUACCGCAUGAUGCCUGAGGGCCAAAGACGAAAGUCGUUUGAGGAGGAGCCUGCGUCUGAUUAGGUAGUUGGUGGGGUAAAGGCCUACCCAAGCCUACGAUCAGUAGCUGGUCUGAGAGGAUGAUCAGCCACAUUGGGACUGAGACACGGCCCAAACUCCUACGGGAGGCAGCAGUGGGGAAUAUUGGACAAUGGGCGCAAGCCUGAUCCAGCAAUGCCGCGUGGGUGAAGAAGGUCUUCGGAUUGUAAAGCCCUUUUGGCGGGGACGACGAUGACGGUACCCGCAGAAUAAGCUCCGGCUAACUUCGUG
rnacentral:rRNA from 1 species